rnacentral:misc_RNA from 1 species
AACCAAGACCAUUUUUCUCAUAAAGACGUAUACACUCACCGGAGUCUACAUCCCACAGUCUAACGACCUCUUCCAGGCCACAGGUGAGAAGCUGACUAUCAUCAGGGCUCCAUGAUACAAAGCACACAGGCUCCUCAUGACCAAUAACUUUGUGCUUCAAGCAUAACCUUCCAUCCAACUUCACCUCCCAUAUAAUUACUGAACAAUCAGCAGAUGACGAGGCCAAACACUUCCCGUUAUGAGAGAACUCCAAAAACCAGACUUCAUCUUUGUGUCCUUCUAAUAUCUGCAAAGUCUGAGAUGGAAUCUUAUCUAUUCCACAAUGGUGAUCAGUGAGCAAUGACAUGUCAUUGCUUAAUGAGUUGUGAAGAGAACAAGAUCCCAG